rnacentral:rRNA from 1 species
UUCUUUUAGUUUUAAUUAAAAGUAAAGCCUGCCCACUGUGAUAUGAAGGGCUGCGGUAUUCUGACCGUACUAAGGUAGCAUAAUCAUUAGCCUUUUAAUUGAAGGAUUGUAUGAAUGGUUUAACAAAUAUUUAUUUUUUUAUUAUUAAUUUUUUUAACUUAAAUUUUAAGUGAAAAUGCUUAAAUUUUUUAAAUAGACGAUAAGACCCUAUAGAGUUUAAUAAUGAACUUUAAUGUAUUAUUUGGAUGUAUUUUAUUUUAUAAAUAUUUAUUUUAUUGGGGCAAUAAAAGAAUUAAAAAAACUUCUUUUUUAUGGUUUUAAAAUUUAAAAAAAUCUUAACUUUUAAAAAUUAACAAAUUACCUUAGGGAUAACAGCGUUAUAUUUUUUGAGAGCUCUUAUCGACAAAAUUGAUUGCGACCUCGAUGUUGAAUUAAGAGAUCUAUUUAGGGCAGUACUUAAAUUAGAUAGUCUGUUCGACUAUAAAAUUCUU